UAUCAAUAUAACUAUUUGAACUAGCUAGUUAAGCUUUAUACACCAUUUUAAUGUAACGUGAAGAUCGUUCACAUGUAAGCAAUGACACAAUGAAGAGGCGUGACCUGCUGGAGGUGCCCUGGCUGCGAUGUAAAGACAAUAUUGAAUCCUCAACUUUCACAGAAGCCAGCUGUUGUUUCCCUUACGUUGUAUCGCCAUGAUGACAGACCCCCGCUGCUGCGCUUUGUCAAUGAACUUUCGGUUUAGAGUGUACCCCCUAGCCUCGUUUUGGAUUUCAAGAUGGAGGCGCGGUGAAUAAGGUGUGCUCACCGAGGGAGGCCACCUGACACUUGGCUGAAACCCUAGAGCAUCACCCACGCCACCCCACAAGGAUAGGACUGGGCUGUGGCCAAGAGAGGAUUAGGUUCUGGCUGAUUACAUAGAGACUGAAUCUCAAGGGCAAACAAGGCCAAACAAACUGCUUUUGUCUCUUACGUACUCCACUCAUGGAAUGCUUCACAAACUAGCCAUAGGCUUGGAAAUUUAGAUUUUUAGUAAAUGGCCUUUUGAUUGUUCAUUGUGAUUGCUUUUCUUAAUGUUUGUGCAUUUGAAAUUGUAUAUGUAAAUAUUUUAGAUGUUAUUAUAUUGUACAUUUUUCAUGUUUUUUAUUUUUUAUUAUUGCUGUAACAUUGGGCACAACAUGAAAAGAGACCUAGGUCUCAGCUUGAUUUCCCUGAAAAGAUUUAAUGUAGCUGUGUGAUAUUCAGAGUACACAGCCAGGUAGGAGACAAAGCAAGGUUUUCAUGGGAGGAUUUAGGACAUCAUAGAUGAAGCUGGGAAAGUUGUUUUUGUUGAAUGCGCAGGUUUUAAAUUACAACUACUGCACAGACACUGACAAGAUUAAUAGUAUAUUUAUG
ensembl:lncRNA